AUGUCAGCCACUCGGAAGGGACCUUAUAAAUGCGCCCGGCGAGGAUUUCUGUGCUGCGCCCCAGCAUUCUCCCUCUCUCUCUGCUUCCUUCUUCCCAGCUCAGCGUGCUCGCUCUUGCCCCCGCACCACUUCCCUUCGCGCAUCUCUCCGGCGACCAUGGCCAAGGAGAAGACGGCGGCGCUGGAGCGCGCCAAGAAGGCGUCGGCGUCGGAGAAGGCGAAGGGGAGAUCCACCAGCCGCGGAGGGUCCUCGUCCAGAUCCCGCCUGCCGAAGGGCUGGGUCCAAGGAGACUGGAUCCAGUCGACCAUCACAGAGAAGGACCUCCUUGACAUGGCCAACGAGGGCUUGAUCCCUCACGGAGCUGCGAGGUUGCCGGGGAAGGAGUGGCAGCCACAGCCAGAAGAGGGUGAGUGUGUGCUUUUGGCCACUCAUGUUGAUCGUGGGUUUUCCUUGCCGCCAAGUAUUUUCUUCCGUGGCUUCUUGAAUUUCUUUGGAGCGCAGCUUCACCACUUUACCCCAAACUCCAUUGCCUAUCUUGCUGCAUUCGUGUCCAUGUGUGAGGGUUUCUUGGGCUGUCGACCGCACUGGGGUUUGUUCAAACAUAUAUUCACGUGUCGCUCUCAGACCGUGAAGAAGGCGAGCCCAGGUGAUGAGAGAACCCGAGUCGUCCAAAUGUGUGGGGGCCUGGGGAUCCAGGUGAGGAAUAAGAGCACCUUCCCGCCCAUGACCUUUCCCGAGUCCGUCAGAGGCUGGCAGUCGACUUGGUUCUACUGCCAGGUCCAGUCGACGCCAGGGCAGUCGAGUGGACUCCCUUCGUUUACCAUGGACCGAGUGAACAAGCCGUCCCCUCUGAAGCUGAUUCCGGAGGAGAAAGCCGACGUGAAGAUGUUGAUGGAGCGCGUGGUGCAGUUGGUUCGGGAGGGGGUGACGGGCAUGGAUCUUCUGGAGGUCUUCCUCAGGCGUCGCAUCCAACCCCUUCAAUUCCGGAGCCACUGCAUGUGGUUGUACUGUGGGACCGAAGACGAGACUAGAGUCCAUCCAGAAGCAGUCGACGACGUCACUCUGGAAAGAUGGAUGGUAGCCGUUACCGGAAACAAGGACAACCCGCGCGGAGCCAGAAGGAUUCCUCCACUCGACCACAACAGCGACCCAAACAAGGUACACUUGCUCUGCUCUCCACUGCGCCCUUGUCGUAUUCAUUUCUGUUUACUCUGCCGACUGGUCGACUGA
rnacentral:rRNA from 1 species